GGAAAAAGGAAAAAAAAAAAAGAAAAUGAAAGAAAUUGGAAACCCAUUCGGUGCUUAGGGUUUAAAGUGAGAACCCACUCAUUUCAGCCCACUUCUUCAUCAUUUCCCAUUAUAUUUUCAGAGCAUUUCAAGAGAGAGAGUGAAGGAAGAGAGAGAAUAAGUUGCUGCAGGUUGGAGGUUGAAGAAGGGAGGAAAAGCUCAUGCAAGUGAAACCAUUGAAGAAUUUGGGUUCAACCUACCUAUCUCUGGUUUUUAAGUCAGUUUGAGCUACACAAGAAGAACUAAGAGGAAAACAAAGCAUAGAAUUUUCGUGCAAAUCUGAAGGGUCUCUGCUUUUCUCUGGCUUUUCAAACAUUCUGGGGUGUACAGGUUGGAUUAGAAGCUCAAUUGAGAGAAAUGUAGAGGGUAGCAGAGAAGUACGAAUCUGUAUUCGCUGUGUUCGAGGGAUUUUUGGACAAAUUCGUUGGGAAUCUCGUUUUUAUUCCUUCAAGUAAGUUGUAGAGGGUUCCAAAAUGAAGAGUUUGAUAUAUAGUACAUUAAUUCUGGUUAAGUAUUGAGGAAGUUAUGAGUGUUAGAAUUUAGGAUAUUGAAUCUGGAAAAUCUGGAAAGAAAAUGUGAAGUGUGAUUUUAUUUUUAGAAUUUAGAAUUCAUGAGCAUGGAAAGACAAGAAGAUUUAUAGUUUUGAUGCUCGGUUUUGGUUGUUUGAUAGGCCAAGAGGAAAUAGUCCGAGUUUACAGACUAGGAAACUAGCCAAGACUGUGAGUGACAAAACAAAUUUAAAAAAUGAUUUCUAAACUGUAAUUUAUGCAUAAAUGGUUUACAUGCUCAAUAUGAACUUAUGAAUGAUACAUGAUUUCUAUGAAUGAUUUCAAGCAUAAGUUUUGAGCUUAGAUUUUCUAAUGAGGUUUAUAUACGAGCACGUGAUUAUUGACUUCCUGAAAAGUAGUUGAAACAAUACCAUUUAAGGUAAAGUAUGUAUUAGCGAGUACUGUUUAAAGAUUUUCAGUUUUUCACGAGCAAGCCGAGUAAGCUUUAGUUUUACGAAAGAUAAAAGAUAAGCAGGCAUGUUUUAAUGUUUUCAUGUGGUUUUCUGAGACUUUUAUUGACUACAUGACUGGGAUAUUGAGCCUGAGGCUAUAUG